GACGAACGCUGGCGGCGUGCUUAACACAUGCAAGUCGAACGGAAAGGCCCUGCUUUUGUGGGGUGCUCGAGUGGCGAACGGGUGAGUAACACGUGAGUAACCUGCCCUUGACUUUGGGAUAACUUCAGGAAACUGGGGCUAAUACCGGAUAGGAGCUCCUGCUGCAUGGUGGGGGUUGGAAAGUUUCGGCGGUUGGGGAUGGACUCGCGGCUUAUCAGCUUGUUGGUGGGGUAGUGGCUUACCAAGGCUUUGACGGGUAGCCGGCCUGAGAGGGUGACCGGCCACAUUGGGACUGAGAUACGGCCCAGAAUCCUACGGGAGGCAGCAGUGGGGAAUAUUGCACAAUGGGCGGAAGCCUGAUGCAGCAACGCCGCGUGCGGGAUGACGGCCUUCGGGUUGUAAACCGCUUUCGCCUGUGACGAAGCGUGAGUGACGGUAAUGGGUAAAGAAGCACCGGCUAACUAUGUG
rnacentral:rRNA from 1 species